rnacentral:rRNA from 1 species
GCUUAGGGAGGAGCUUGCGUCACAUUAGUUAGUUGGUGGGGUAAAGGCCUACCAAGACUAUGAUGUGUAGCCGGGCUGAGAGGUUGAACGGCCACAUUGGGACUGAGACACGGCCCAAACUCCUACGGGAGGCAGCAGUAGGGAAUUUUCGGCAAUGGAGGAAACUCUGACCGAGCAACGCCGCGUGAACGAUGAAGUAUUUCGGUACGUAAAGUUCUUUUAUUAGGGAAGAAUAAAUGAUGGAAAAAUCAUUCUGACGGUACCUAAUGAAUAAGCCCCGGCUAACUAUGUGCCAGCAGCCGCGGUAAUACAUAGGGGGCAAGCGUUAUCCGGAAUUAUUGGGCGUAAAGGGUGCGUAGGCUGUUAAAUAAGUUUAUGGUCUAAGUGCAAUGCUCAACAUUGUGAUGCUAUAAAAACUGUUUAGCUAGAGUAAGAUAGAGGCAAGUGGAAUUCCAUGUGUAGUGGUAAAAUGCGUAAAUAUAUGGAGGAACACCAGUAGCGAAGGCGGCUUGCUGGGUCUUUACUGACGCUGAGGCACGAAAGCGUGGGGAGCAAACAGGAUUAGAUACCCUGGUAGUCCACGCCGUAAACGAUGAGUACUAAACGUUGGGUAAAACCAGUGUUGAAGUUAACACAUUAAGUACUCCGCCUGAGUAGUACGUACGCAAGUAUGAAACUUAAAGGAAUUGACGGGACUCCGCACAAGCGGUGGAUCAUGUUGUUUAAUUCGAAGGUACCCGAAAAACCUCACCAGGUCUUGACAUGCUUCUGCAAAGCUGUAGAAACACAGUGNAGGUUAUCAGUUGCACAGGUGGUGCAUGGUUGUCGUCAGCUCGUGUCGUGAGAUGUUGGGUUAAGUCCCGCAACGAGCGCAACCCUUAUUGUUAGUUGCCAGCACGUAAUGGUGGGGACUUUAGCAAGACUGCCAGUGAUAA